CCUACGGGUGGCUGCAGUGGGGAAUAUUGGACAAUGGGGGGAACCCUGAUCCAGCCAUGCCGCGUGUGUGAAGAAGGCCCUCGGGUUGUAAAGCACUUUCAGUGAGGAAGAACGCCUGGUGGUUAAUACCCAUCAGGAAAAACAUCACUCACAGAAGAAGCACCGGCUAACUCCGUGCCAGCAGCCGCGGUAAUACGGAGGGUGCGAGCGUUAAUCGGAAUUACUGGGCGUAAAGCGCGCGUAGGUGGCUUGAUAAGCCGGUUGUGAAAGCCCCGGGCUCAACCUGGGAACGGCAUCCGGAACUGUCAAGCUAGAGUGCAGGAGAGGAAGGUAGAAUUCCCGGUGUAGCGGUGAAAUGCGUAGAGAUCGGGAGGAAUACCAGUGGCGAAGGCGGCCUUCUGGACUGACACUGACACUGAGGUGCGAAAGCGUGGGUAGCAAACAGGAUUAGAUACCCGAGUAGUC
rnacentral:rRNA from 1 species